rnacentral:rRNA from 1 species
GAUGAACGCUGGCGGCGUGCCUAAUACAUGCAAGUCGAGCGAACAGACGAGGAGCUUGCUCCUCUGACGUUAGCGGCGGACGUGUGAGUAACACGUGGAUAACCUACCUAUAAGACUGGGAUAACUUCGGGAAACCGGAGCUAAUACCGGAUAAUAUAUUGAACCGCAUGGUUCAAUAGUGAAAGACGGUUUUGCUGUCACUUAUAGAUGGAUCCGCGCCGCAUUAGCUAGUUGGUAAGGUAACGGCUUACCAAGGCAACGAUGCGUAGCCGACCUGAGAGGGUGAUCGGCCACACUGGAACUGAGACACGGUCCAGACUCCUACGGGAGGCAGCAGUAGGGUAUCUUCCGCAAUGGGCGGAAGCCUGACGGAGCAACGCCGCGUGAGUGAUGAAGGUCGUCGGAUCGUAAAACUCUGUUAUUAGGGAAGAACAAAUGUGUAGGUAACUAUGCACGUCUUGACGGUACCUAAUCAGAAAGCCACGGCUAACUACGUG